GCUCUGUGGUUUGCUGGGUGCUGUUAUUCAAGUACAGCUUUCCAGUCGAUGGCGAUGGGCCAGAGCAAUACUGUGAUGUAUGCAUGGGGGCUGUUCCUUUUCAGCAGCCUCCAUAGCCUGGUCACUGGUACAUGU
rnacentral:snoRNA from 1 species